rnacentral:lncRNA from 1 species
GAAGUCCAGAGUUUGAAAAGUGAUGGCCAACAAGAAAUCUGCUGUGCUAGGGAGCUCCCCCAAAUGACCACAACAGUCUGCCCAGGGCAGGAGGCUGGUGCAGGAGAUGACAUCAACUCCAUAUGUAAGCACACAUUUGCACCACUUCUCUAUCUGUCCAGGAAUUAUCAGACAUUCUGGUGACAGCGUGAGCCACCGCACCCAGUCUUGUGUCAUUUUUAAAGGACAUUUUAGUACGUUUUUGUUGAACCUAUGUUUGCCCCAUUAUUAGACUCUAAUCCCAAUAACAGUACCUCUCCCUGGAGCCAGUGUUAUCCACUUUAUUUACUUUUAUUUGUUAUCAUUGGCUUAUUUAUUUAAUAAUGUGCUAGCAUUUAGGGGGGAAAGGAAGAUUGUGUAACCAAGAUUCAAUAAACCAUGAUCCCUUCUUACAGGCCCUUUCCAUCUAGGAGGGAAUGUGGGCCAUACAUAUACAUUCCAAGAAAACCAAUAAUGAGUUAGCCCUGGUGAGACUGAAAGGUGUUUUGAACUGGGUUACUUGCUGGCUGUGGCUAUGAGAAGGUUCCUGGAAGCUUCUGCUCUUGCCUCCCCAGUGUUGGCCUUGAGCAAUCACUGUCUGCUCCCUGCUGCGAAAAACGAUGGCAAGAUCCUGAUUGCCUGUCCAGCUGUUGAGGGGUGGGUGAGAAAAUCCAAGCUGAAAUCCUGCUGGAGUGGGAGGAGCUGGGGACUGCCCUAGUCAUUGCCUCCUCCACCAUCCCAGCUAGCAGUGUCUCCUAGUGCUCCCACUCUGAAGCCCUGACCUGAAGUGACACCCAAAGGGUAGUGACUGUGGUUUUGUGCUGGACUAGGACUCCAGCUGGCCCUUCUUUCUCUUUACACACAUGACACUAACACAGAUAGUCACUAAUGGGCCAAAAUAAUAAGACCUUUAGGGAGUGCUGCCACCUCAAAAGAAAAACAGCAAACAGGACCAUCGAUGUCCUUGAAAGAAUUAGUAGAAAAUAUAGACCAGUCAUUUACAGUGAGAAUUAAAAGUGCACUUUAAAAGUAAAAAGCUACUAUAAUAUGAAAAAAAAAAAGAAAAUAUAGGAAAAACACCUAAAAGUUCUAGGUGUAAAAAAAAAAUAAUAAUAAUAAAAGCAAAAGCCACAUUAAUGGGAUAAAUAGUGGGAGAGAUGCAACUGAAAAACAAAACAGAAAGUUGGAGGACUACACUGAGAAGCUAGCUCAGAACAAGAGAGGGAAGAAUUGGGAAGUUAUCAAUAGAAAAGUCAAGGAAAAAAGGAGGAGAGAAUUGUCCAAAUAUACAUUAUAUGAGUUUCACAAAGACCAAAAAAAUAGAGGAGAAAAAUAGUUAAAGGAAUAAAAAAGAUGAAUUCCUGGACUUAAAAGAUAGAGAAGAUCCAUAAUGUCUUACAGAGAGAAGGAAAAACCCACUCUAGACACACUAGCAAAAUUUAAAAAUAUCAAAGACAAUGAGAAAAUUCUAAAAGAUUCCAGCAUGAAAGACUGACAUGGGAUUUUUUAACUGUGACAUUGGAUGUGAAAAAAAAAAUCGGAAUGAUCUUAUUUAGAAUAUUAAAGGGAAAAAAACUUCCAACAGAAUUUAUUACACAGUGAAACUUUUUUCAAAAGUGCUUGUAUAAUAAAACAAAUAUAUCAAGCAUACAAGGUUUCAGAAGGUUUGCUAUGCAAAUUCCCACAUUUUACACGUUUUGGAAGAAUUCUAAUCAGAGAAAGCAUUCUAGAAGGUGCCAAAAGAUAUGAGAAGUAAUGUUGACCAAAUACUUUGGUGAAGGAGAAAAUAUGUGAAUAAAUUUGAAAGCAUGCUAAAGUUCUUAUCCAGUCAGAGGGAAGCUGGGGAAGAUAUCAGUAACACACACACACACACACACACACACACACACAUACACACAAGG